GUGGGGAAUUUUGGACAAUGGGCGCAAGCCUGAUCCAGCAAUGCCGCGUGCAGGAAGAAGGCCUUCGGGUUGUAAACUGCUUUUGUACGGAACGAAACGGUCCUGGCUAAUAUCCGGGGCUAAUGACGGUACCGUAAGAAUAAGCACCGGCUAACUACGUGCCAGCAGCCGCGGUAAUACGUAGGGUGCGAGCGUUAAUCGGAAUUACUGGGCGUAAAGCGUGCGCAGGCGGUGCUGUAAGACAGGCGUGAAAGCCCCGGGCUCAACCUGGGAAUUGCGCUUGUGACUGCAGUGCUGGAGUGCGGCAGAGGGGGAUGGAAUUCCGCGUGUAGCAGUGAAAUGCGUAGAUAUGCGGAGGAACACCGAUGGCGAAGGCAAUCCCCUGGGCCUGCACUGACGCUCAUGCACGAAAGCGUGGGGAGCAAACAGGAUUAGAUACCCCUGUAGUCC
rnacentral:rRNA from 1 species